GCGCCUAUAGCUCAGUUGGUAGAGCGACUGACUCUUAAUCAGUUGGUCCGGGGUUCGAGUCCCUGUGGGCGCACCA
rnacentral:tRNA from 3 species